UACGUAGGGGGCAAGCGUUGUCCGGAAUCAUUGGGCGUAAAGAGCGCGUAGGCGGUCCGGUAAGUCCGCUCUGAAAGUCCGGGGCUCAACCCCGGGAGGCGGGCGGAUACUGUCGGGCUAGAGUCCGGAAGAGGCGAGUGGAAUUCCUGGUGUAGCGGUGAAAUGCGCAGAUAUCAGGAGGAACACCGAUGGCGAAGGCAGCUCGCUGGGACGUUACUGACACUGAGGCGCGAAAGCGUGGGGAGCGAACAGG
rnacentral:rRNA from 1 species